AAGUCGAGCGGCAGCGCGGGGCAACCUGGCGGCGAGCGGCGAACGGGUGAGUAAUACAUCGGAACGUGCCCAAGUGUGGGGGAUAGCCCGGCGAAAGCCGGAUUAAUACCGCAUACGAUCUAAGGAUGAAAGCGGGGGAUCGCAAGACCUCGCGCACUUGGAGCGGCUGAUGGCAGAUUAGGUAGUUGGUGGGGUAAAGGCCUACCAAGCCUACGAUCUGUAGCUGGUCUGAGAGGACGACCAGCCACACUGGGACUGAGACACGGCCCAGACUCCUACGGGAGGCAGCAGUGGGGAAUUUUGGACAAUGGGCGAAAGCCUGAUCCAGCCAUUCCGCGUGCAGGAUGAAGGCCCUCGGGUUGUAAACUGCUUUUGUACAGAACGAAAAGGCUCUGGUUAAUACCUGGGGCUCAUGACGGUACUGUAAGAAUAAGCACCGGCUAACUACGUGCCAGCAGCCGCGGUAAUACGUAGGGUGCAAGCGUUAAUCGGAAUUACUGGGCGUAAAGCGUGCGCAGGUGGUUUUGUAAGACAGAGGUGAAAUCCCCGGGCUCAACCUGGGAACUGCCUUUGUGACUGCAAGGCUGGAGUACGGCAGAGGGGGAUGGAAUUCCGCGUGUAGCAGUGAAAUGCGUAGAUAUGCGGAGGAACACCGAUGGCGAAG
rnacentral:rRNA from 1 species